AGCCGUAGACGGCAGACGGGUGAGUAAUGCAUGGGAAUCUACCCAGCUCUACGGAAUAACUCAGGGAAACUUGAACUAAUACCGUAUGCGCCCUUCGGGGGAAAGAUUUAUCGGAGUUGGAUGAGCCCAUGUCUGAUUAGCUAGUUGGUGGGGUAAAGGCCUACCAAGGCGACGAUCAGUAGCUGGUCUGAGAGGAUGAUCAGCCACACUGGGACUGAGACACGGCCCAGACUCCUACGGGAGGCAGCAGUGGGGAAUAUUGGACAAUGGGGGCAACCCUGAUCCAGCCAUGCCGCGUGAGUGAUGAAGGCCCUAGGGUUGUAAAGCUCUUUCACCGGUGAAGAUAAUGACGGUAACCGGAGAAGAAGCCCCGGCUAACUUCGUGCCAGCAGCCGCGGUAAUACGAAGGGGGCUAGCGUUGUUCGGAAUUACUGGGCGUAAAGCGCGCGUAGGCGGAUCGGUCAGUUAGGGGUGAAAUCCCGGGGCUCAACCCCGGAACUGCCUCUAAUACUGCCGAUCUAGAGUUCGAGAGAGGUGAGUGGAAUUCCGAGUGUAGAGGUGAAAUUCGUAGAUAUUCGGAGGAACACCAGUGGCGAAGGCGGCUCACUGGCUCGAUACUGACGCUGAGGUGCGAAAGCGUGGGGAGCAAACAGGGAUUAGAUACCCUGGUAGUCCACGCCGUAAACGAUGGAAAGCUAGCCCGUUGGCAGGGUUUACCCUGUCGGUGGCGCAGUUAACGCAUUAAGCUUCCCGCCUGGGGAGUACGGUCGCAAGAUUAAAACUC
rnacentral:rRNA from 1 species